AUUGAACGCUGGCGGCAGGCCUAACACAUGCAAGUCGAGCGGUAGAGAGGUGCUUGCAUCUCUUGAGAGCGGCGGACGGGUGAGUAAUGCCUAGGAAUCUGCCUAGUGGUGGGGGAUAACGUUCGGAAACGGACGCUAAUACCGCAUACGUCCUACGGGAGAAAGCGGGGGAUCUUCGGACCUCGCGCCAUUAGAUGAGCCUAGGUCGGAUUAGCUAGUUGGUGAGGUAAUGGCUCACCAAGGCGACGAUCCGUAACUGGUCUGAGAGGAUGAUCAGUCACACUGGAACUGAGACACGGUCCAGACUCCUACGGGAGGCAGCAGUGGGGGAAUAUUGGACAAUGGGCGAAAGCCUGAUCCAGCCAU
rnacentral:rRNA from 1 species